AUCCCAGGGAAGCCACGCGCUGCCACAUCACGCCCGGAAGGAAGCAGGCUGCGUUGGAGGCUCCCUCUGAAUGAUGACCAGUGAGGCCCCGCAAGACAGCCUCCCGAGGCCAAGCCACCGAGCUGCAGGAUGAAGAUGAUCUUUCUGGGCUCCUGAUGUCCAGACCCUGUCUCAACUUUCAGCACGUUCAGAGUACCUGUGGCUGCUGUGGGCAGAGAGGAGGUACGGGGGAAGUCCCGGCCGACUUAUCUAUCGGCAGAGAGACUGAGCCUCCACGCCACCCCAAUUCCCCCUGCCCUUUUGACCGAGCUCUGAACACAAGUUAGAGGAGCUGGGGGAAAGCUCCAAGCAGUCAAUACAUCAGCCGGCGAGCGCAUGCCAUGUCCUGUCUCAUGCUCGAUGCUGGGGAGGACGUCCCCACAAAUACCACAGCUCGAAUUCUCUGGUUGAGAAGGCAAGACUCACAGGCAGAGAACAAUAAAAAAACUAUUAAAGAGACCCCUGGCGUAGUCUGAGGAGCCCUGGAUAGACCAGAGUUCUAUCCCCAGACCUCAGGCCUGAAGCAGGUCCCUGUACCUCCAAAAGCUGCAGCCACACCAUGUUAUAGACAACUUCUCAUCGCCUGGAUUGUGGAUGGCAGUGGCGCAUCUGAUCGAAGGGUACUGGCGCCUGCAGCACUGUGCUGAGGAGGGCUCUGAGGCAGCAGCAAGCUUAGUAGGACUGUGGUGGCCAACCAGUGAGGCGAGCAUUAGGUGCCACCGGGAUGUCAUGGGGAUGUACCUCCUGCUUAUUAACUCUUCUGGUUAACAGCAACUGACUAGGGCCAUUCCUAAGGACUCCUCCAGCUCCCAAAUGGGAUAAUUCUAUGAUGGAAAUGUUACAUUUCAAGGCACUGGCUGGAGCACAAUGAGGCAAAACAGGAAGAGAUCUGUGUGGGUUGGGAUGAUCAGGGAAGGCUUUGGGAAGGAGGCGGCACUUUAGUGCGGCCUCAAGGUGGGGGAGUGUGAGUAGCUGUACCGGAGGUGGGAGGACAUUUAUGUGCAUAAAACUGGGGCUGAGCAUGGGCUGUUCUUGGUACAAGAGGGAGGCGGCUAGCAUCGCUGUCAUGCGCUGUCUGUGUUUGGGGCAAGUAUGAUUACACAUGGGAGAGCACACUGCCUGACAGCUUCCCACAUUGAAGCCACAAGCAAAGAUGACGUUGCAUGCGUGCUGGCUUCCAGUCCUCACAGCUCGUCUUCAAGGCAAAUGCUCUUCCCAGCCUUCCCCAGCAUUCUGUGACUUGCUCAGGGCUACUGCUGGCAGGCGCCAAUCCCGCAUUCAGCCUGGGCAGCGCGGUUCUGAUGGCUUCGGGCAUAACUUCUCCGCUCUGGUGCCUUCUCUACUCUUAGAAGCUGAUCAGUAAGGAAACCCAGCAAUGCAGUCGAGACACCGUGGCCAGAUCUGUGGAUUCUAGGGACCAGGAAGAGGCAGGACCAGCUGUAGACUGAGGAAGGAGGGCCUUGCCUGAGUCAUCAGUCACAUAAACAGAUCCAAGCAAAGAACAGGGCAAGGUGGACAUAGAUCAAAGAUAGGCGCUAAGUGCCACUGGGCUAGGGCUUCCUUUAGACUUUCCCCAAGUCCUACAUCAUCUACUGGAAACAACAAAAAGUGUCCCAACACUGUGGGAAUAGGCAAGAAGGUACAGGAGGGCAUGAAAUUCCAGGGACGUGGGGCUCAGCCUGUGAGGAUGGGAAUAGAGCCUGCCAUGGUCUUAACACAAGCCCAGAGGCAGAAGGCAACUGCCUAAAUAAAGAUCUCAUUUCAGACAAAGCUUAACCCUGCCUUUGCCCAGGGCUGCAGCCUCCAGCCGUCUCCACGCUGUCCCUGCCUGGCACCUGGUGGUGCGCUGGGGAACUUUCGCUCUUUCUCCCUCCUUUCCCAGCCCUCUCUCCUUCCUUCCUCCCUUACUGGUUUCACGGACAGCUCCAGCCUCCACUCAGCUUGGCCUCAGUUCAAUGGCACCCAGAAGGCCCUGUUGUGCACCGCCCCAGGCCCCUAAGCAGGGGAAGAUGCUGUGUCUCGUCUUGCUUUCUUCACCCCUCCCACCACCCUUGUGCCCACCCAUCCGGGGAUGGAUCUGAAACCAGCCCAGGUAUGAAACUCUCUGGCCUCUCUCCCAAACAUCCUGGUGCCCCUGCCCCCCUUGCUCUGGUCCCACUCCAUCUCAAGCCCCCUCUGCAGUCCUUCCUUCUGGUUUCUCCCUCCGGCCUCCAGGAGGCCUCUGGUGCCCGCACAACUUCCCGGCAUUGAGGAAGGACCAGAGCUGUAACGUGGGGCUGGAAGGUCCCAGAACCACCAGCUAGUCCCGCCCUGCCAGCCUCUCCUUGUUAAGCCCUCCCUCCUGCUGUUCAGUCUAUGCUCGAUGACUAGAGGCCUGAUUUUGAAACUCUCUUUUGGGGCCACUGGGUCGGGCCAGCCCUCCUCACUGUCAGGAAAUGCAUCCUCAUUUCUUACCUUAAUUUCUCAACUGCAUCCGUUCUUUCUUGUUCUGGGAAGUCACCCGGCGUGAUGCUGCAACCAUGCUACUCCUUAGCGCUCUGCUUCCCACCCAAAGCAAUGCUCCUCCUCAUCUUUUCCAAAGCUUCCAGCCCCAGCAGUUCUUGGACCUGGGGUACUUUCCUCCCUGCAAGUAACAAAGGAGGACAAGCCCCAGCUUCUCUAAGAUGCCUUCGGCUGCCUGGAAGAGGCCUGUGGAAGGCCCUGCAACUCUCCGCAGACCUCUGGGCAUUGCUGCUUCUUCUCAGUGGCCCUCGUCCCCUCAGCCAGGUGAGUCACCAUCAUCCUUGCUCCUCCCAGACCCGAAACCUCUCCUCUCCCAUCCUUCCUUCUCUUUGUAUCUCUUUCCGUUUACAUGCGCGAACGAACACGUGCCCACACACACAUAUCAUUUCAGGCCCUAUCUGGAGCUGUCAUUGACAGAACUCAAAUUGUGAUAGGCAAAUUGGCUUCAAUUUCAGAGAAAGGAAACCCAGUGAUGCAUCUCCCGGUGCCUGGAGAGCGAGGAGAUAAGAGAGCAGAGAUGGGCUGCCUCGGCCAGCAGCACUGGAGCGGGGACUGUAGCCAGGGAAGCGGGUCUUCUGCGGCUCUGGCUCAGGCACUGGAGUCCUGAGUGCUGGGGAGCCUGGCUUGAGUCUCACCCCCCACGUGAUGUGGGAUAACAAAAGGAGGAUGGAUCACCUCCGAGAUGCACUGAGCCCUUCCCCAGGGCUUCUCUAAGACAACCCAAGGUCUUUCCUAGCGGGAAUCAGACGUCUACAGCAGGGACCCCUUAGCCCCCAGAUGCCACAUCCUACAUGUAGGGCUGGUCACCGUCCUGGCAGUUAGGAGGGGAUGGGUGAGAGCUGCUGCCGAAAGAGGAGCAGCCAUUCUGAUGCCAUCAUACCUCUGCUUGUCCCCAUUACAUAAAGCUCCAGCUGACUUGGCGUAAUGACUAAGAAAACUUUCCAAACUUCCCGAAGACAGUUGGUGAUCCUCUACCCUCCCGGUGACUGGUGAGAACUACCCCCACAGAGAGCCAGCAGAGAGGAAGGCUCCAGCUCCGGGCCCUGACUCAUCACACACACACACUCCCCAGCACUCUUUCCCAAAACAGUUCCCCUCCCACCCAUCCACCCUCCUACCGGGGCUGGGUGACAAAAAUGAACGCCCCAGAGAUCUUGCCAAGUUCUGGGCCAUGCUCAGCCCAGGGAACAUGCAAUUCCCCAUAGAAUGGGAGGAGCAGACCCCGCCCCCUCGGGAAGCAAGCAAAGUCCAUUGGAAGAAAAUUGCCACCUGACUGUACAAUGAUCACUGUAUUGUUUUCCAAAUAGCUUGGACUACUUUCCCCCAAGAAAGAGUUCAAAGCUGUAUCAUCAUAAAAUAUUAGAGCCUAA